UACGUAGGGGGCAAGCGUUGUCCGGAUUUACUGGGCGUAAAGAGCGCGUAGGUGGAAGCGCCAGUCCGGCCUGAAAGCCCCCGGCUCAACCGGGGAGAGUGGCUGGAAACUGCGUUUCUUGAGGGCGAGAGAGGAGGGUGGAAUUCCUGGUGUAGCGGUGAAAUGCGCAGAUAUCGGGAGGAACACCGGUGGCGAAGGCGGUUCUCUGGGCCUUACCUGACGCUGAGGAGCGAAAGCGUGGGGAGCGAACAGG
rnacentral:rRNA from 1 species